rnacentral:pre_miRNA from 1 species
AGUUCUUCAGUGGCAUCCUUUAUGUCCUGUCUAGAAGCUAAAGCUGCCAGUUGAAGAACUGU